GAUGAACGCUGGCGGCGUGCCUAAUACAUGCAAGUCGAGCGAACGGACGAGAAGCUUGCUUCUCUGAUGUUAGCGGCGGACGGGUGAGUAACACGUGGAUAACCUACCUAUAAGACUGGGAUAACUUCGGGAAACCGGAGCUAAUACCGGAUAAUAUUUUGAACCGCAUGGUUCAAAAGUGAAAGACGGUCUUGCUGUCACUUAUAGAUGGAUCCGCGCUGCAUUAGCUAGUUGGUAAGGUAACGGCUUACCAAGGCAACGAUGCAUAGCCGACCUGAGAGGGUGAUCGGCCACACUGGAACUGAGACACGGUCCAGACUCCUACGGGAGGCAGCAGUAGGGAAUCUUCCGCAAUGGGCGAAAGCCUGACGGAGCAACGCCGCGUGAGUGAUGAAGGUCUUCGGAUCGUAAAACUCUGUUAUUAGGGAAGAACAUAUGUGUAAGUAACUGUGCACAUCUUGACGGUACCUAAUCAGAAAGCCACGGCUAACUACGUGCCAGCAGCCGCGGUAAUACGUAGGUGGCAAGCGUUAUCCGGAAUUAUUGGGCGUAAAGCGCGCGUAGGCGGUUUUUUAAGUCUGAUGUGAAAGCCCACGGCUCAACCGUGGAGGGUCAUUGGAAACUGGAAAACUUGAGUGCAGAAGAGGAAAGUGGAAUUCCAUGUGUAGCGGUGAAAUGCGCAGAGAUAUGGAGGAACACCAGUGGCGAAGGCGACUUUCUGGUCUGUAACUGACGCUGAUGUGCGAAAGCGUGGGGAUCAAACAGGAUUAGAUACCCUGGUAGUCCACGCCGUAAACGAUGAGUGCUAAGUGUUAGGGGGUUUCCGCCCCUUAGUGCUGCAGCUAACGCAUUAAGCACUCCGCCUGGGGAGUACGACCGCAAGGUUGAAACUCAAAGGCAUUGACGGGGACCCGCACAAGCGGUGGAGCAUGUGGUUUAAUUCGAAGCAACGCGAAGAACCUUACCAAAUCUUGACAUCCUUUGACAACUCUAGAGAUAGAGCUUUCCCCUUCGGGGGACAAAGUGACAGGUGGUGCAUGGUUGUCGUCAGCUCGUGUCGUGAGAUGUUGGGUUAAGUCCCGCAACGAGCGCAACCCUUAAGCUUAGUUGCCAUCAUUAAGUUGGGCACUCUAAGUUGACUGCCGGUGACAAACCGGAGGAAGGUGGGGAUGACGUCAAAUCAUCAUGCCCCUUAUGUCCAGGGCUUCACACAUGCUACAAUGGCCGGUACAGAGGGCUGCGAUGCUGUAAAGCGGAGCGAAUCUCUUAAAGCCGGUCUCAGUUCGGAUUGGGGUCUGCAACUCGACCCCAUGAAGUCGGAGUCGCUAGUAAUCGCAGAUCAGCAACGCUGCGGUGAAUACGUUCCCGGGCC
rnacentral:rRNA from 1 species